AGUCCUCACACUUUAUUUCGAGUCUUUCAGGCACCAGCGGCUGUGGGAGUUCACUUUCUUCCUCAUUUCUUAAUUUCUUAAUUAAGUUCAACAAUGCCUCCUAAAGCUCGCUCACAUGUUUGGGAAUAUUUUUCGGUAGUUCAAGACAAUGAAGAAAGGCGUAAAGUAAGGUGCUUGACAUGUGGUAUAAUACUUAAAUAUAAUUCAAGAGCGAAUGGUACAGGUUCCUUGAUGAAACAUAUUGGGAAAUGUCUUGAGCGUCAACAAGAGAGGCAAAUUCGCCUUCAAAUUUGAGCUUACGUUUUCAAUUUGGUGAAUUUCGGACCAAAUUGUGAUUGCUAGUGUUGUGUUAAGACAAUGGAUUUAAGACUUAGUUUGUGACAACUAAUUUUUUGUAUUUGGAGCUAAAUUUUAAGACAUUUAUGUUGUUUAUUUA